CACGUAGGGUGCGAGCGUUGUCCGGAAUUAUUGGGCGUAAAGAGCUCGUAGGCGGUGUGUCGCGUCGGCCGUGAAAACCUGCAGCUUAACUGUGGGCUUGCGGUCGAUACGGGCAUCACUGGAGUUCGGCAGGGGAGACUGGAAUUCCUGGUGUAGCGGUGAAAUGCGCAGAUAGUCAGGAGGAACACCGAUGGCGAAGGCAGGUCUGCUGGGCAUUAACUGACGCUGAGGAAGCGGAAAGCAUGGGGAGCGAACAGG
rnacentral:rRNA from 1 species